AUAGCCGUUGCGAGGGGGAACUCCGCCUCGGAGAGAGAGUGUUAGUGGUAGGACAGAGACUGGGCACCAUUAGGUUCUUUGGGACAACAAACUUCGCUCCAGGAUAUUGGUAUGGUAUAGAGCUUGAAAAACCCCAUGGCAAGAAUGAUGGUUCAGUUGGAGGUGUGCAGUAUUUUAGCUGUUCUCCAAGAUAUGGAAUAUUUGCUCCCCCAUCCAGGGUGCAAAGAGUAACAGAUUCCCUGGAUACCCUUUCAGAAAUUUCUUCAAAUAAACAGAACCAUUCUUAUCCUGGUAAGACUACACAGUUUUGUGUUCCUAAUCAAUAUUUCUUUGCUUUCAUUUAUUGAAAAAUUUUUAUUAUGAGGUAUUGUAUACAAAAGGGUCUAUAAACUGUAUUUGUAUAGUUUUUGUAAUAAUAGAACAAACAUCUGUUACCUGUCCCCUGGCUGAAGAAGAUGAUAACCUGACCUGUAGAAACCCCUGAGUACCCCAUCCCAUCUCAUCUGCCUUGCUCUUCAUAUACCCCAUCCUCAGGUGGAGGAGUCUUGAAUUGUACAUUAAUUAUUCCCUUGAUUCUCUUUAUUUUUGUCACCCAUAUAUAGAUAUAUCAAUAAAUAAUAUGUGUUC
rnacentral:lncRNA from 10 species